UAGGGAAUCUUCCACAAUGGACGCAAGUCUGAUGGAGCAACGCCGCGUGAGUGAAGAAGGGUUUCGGCUCGUAAAGCUCUGUUGGUAGUGAAGAAAGAUAGAGGUAGUAACUGGCCUUUAUUUGACGGUAAUUACUUAGAAAGUCACGGCUAACUACGUGCCAGCAGCCGCGGUAAUACGUAGGUGGCAAGCGUUGUCCGGAUUUAUUGGGCGUAAAGCGAGUGCAGGCGGUUCAAUAAGUCUGAUGUGAAAGCCUUCGGCUCAACCGGAGAAUUGCAUCAGAAACUGUUGAACUUGAGUGCAGAAGAGGAGAGUGGAACUCCAUGUGUAGCGGUGGAAUGCGUAGAUAUAUGGAAGAACACCAGUGGCGAAGGCGGCUCUCUGGUCUGCAACUGACGCUGAGGCUCGAAAGCAUGGGUAGCGAACAGGAUUAGAUACCCUGGUAGUCCAUGCCGUAAACGAUGAGUGCUAAGUGUUGGGAGGUUUCCGCCUCUCAGUGCUGCAGCUAACGCAUUAAGCACUCCGCCUGGGGGAGUACGACCGCAAGGNUG
rnacentral:rRNA from 1 species